rnacentral:rRNA from 1 species
CCCUAGUAACGGCGAGUGAAGCGGGAGGAGCUCAAAUUUGAAAUCUCACGGGUUUCCUGUGCGAAUUGUAGUUUAAAGAGUCGUUUUCUGAGGCCACUUGAGCACAAGUUCUUUGGAACAAGACAUCAUAGAGGGUGAGAAUCCCGUCUUUGGUUCAAGAUGCGCCUCUUUGUGAUACGAACUCAAAGAGUCGGUUUGUUUGGGAAUGCAGACCAAAAUGGGUGGUAAAUACCAUCUAAGGCUAAAUAUAGGCGAGAGACCGAUAGCGAACAAGUACCGUGAGGGAAAGAUGAAAAGAACUUUGAAAAGAGAGUUAAAUAGUACGUGAAAUUGUCAAAAGGGAAACGCUUGAAACCAGUAUUGCUGUUGGGGAAUCAGCUGUCCGUUUGGGCAGUGCACUUUUCCGAGAGCAGGUCAACAUCGAUUUGGUCCGAGGUACAAAGCGCCUGGAAUGUAGCCCUUUGGGUGUUAUAGCCGGGUGAAAUGCCUCGGAUUGGAUCGAGGAAUGCAGUACUUUUGGAGGUCCAGUCGCCUUUGGAAGCAUCGACCUAAACAGCGUGCUGAUUAGGUUGAAUGUCAAGAAGAUCGGUUGGGUGCCUUACACCAGUGCUUAGGAUGUUGACG